rnacentral:lncRNA from 1 species
AUUUCUGAAUUAUUCAGUGUUGUCCACGUACUAGUUGUCAUAAACAGACUUUCGAUCUCUUUAUGAUGGCAGUACAGCAGAUCACUUAAGGAUUGCUAAGACAUGAAUUAACGUUUCUAACACUUGACAAAGUUACAACAUCCUACGUUGAAAAUGGACUAGACGAUACUGAUAAUAAUAAUGGUUUUAUGCAAAAUUGCAGUGCAACAGAUCACUCAAGGCUUGCUGAGCAUGAAUUAACAUUUUUAGUGCUU